rnacentral:RNase_P_RNA from 1 species
GCGGAUGGCCGGAUGACCGCGAGCGCCCGUAGCCCCGCGUUCAGCGGGCAGCCGGGGGCCCGAGGAAAGUCCGGACUCCAUGAAGCGACGGUGCCGGGUAACGCCCGGGCGGGGCAACCCGACGGAAAGCGCCACAGAGAAGAUACCGCCCUGCCACGGCAGGGUAAGGGUGAAACGGUGGAGUAAGAGCCCACCGCGGGGCUGGCAACAGUCACGGCACGGCAAGCCCCACCGGGAGCAACGCCGAAUAGGGAUCGUGCGCCCUCGUCCGGAGACGGGCGGGGCAGGGGAGCUUCGCCCCGAGCGGUCCGGGUUGGCGGCUGGACCCUGCGAGCAAUCGCAGGGCGAGAGGAAUGGUCAUCCAUGGGGGCGCAAGCCCUCGGGACAGAAUCCGGCUUACAGGCCAUCCGCGCAA